GGAGGAAGUAGGGGAUCGCAAGACCUUGCGCUUUUGGAGCGGCCGAUGCCUGAUUAGCUUGUUGGUGAGGUAAAAGCUCACCAAGGCUCCGAUCAGUAGCUGGUCUGAGAGGACGACCAGCCACACUGGGACUGAGACACGGCCCAGACUCCUACGGGAGGCAGCAGUGGGGAAUUUUGGACAAUGGGGGCAACCCUGAUCCAGCCAUGCCGCGUGAGUGAAGAAGGCCUUCGGGUUGUAAAGCUCUUUCAGCCGGAACGAAACGGUCACGGUCAAUACCCGUGACUACUGACGGUACCGGAAGAAGAAGCACCGGCUAACUACGUGCCAGCAGCCGCGGUAAUACGUAGGGUGCGAGCGUUAAUCGGAAUUACUGGGCGUAAAGCGUGCGCAGGCGGUUUUGUAAGUCAGAUGUGAAAUCCCCGGGCUUAACCUGGGAACUGCGUUUGAAACUACAAAGCUAG
rnacentral:rRNA from 1 species